rnacentral:rRNA from 1 species
GACGAACGCUGGCGGCGUGCUUAACACAUGCAAGUCGAACGGACAGGCCCGGCUUUUGUGGGGUGCUCGAGUGGCGAACGGGUGAGUAACCCGUGAGUAAGCUGCCCUUGACUUUGGGAUAACUUCAGGCCACUGGGGCUCAUACCGGGUAGGAGCUCCUGCUUCUUGGUGGGGGUUGGUAAGUUUCGGCGGUUGGGGAUGGAAAGGCGGCUUCUCGGCUUGUUGGUGGGGUUGUGGCUUAACAAGGCUUUGACACGUAGACGGGCUGAGAGGGUGACAGGCCACACUGGGACUGAGAUGAGGCCCAGACUCCUACGGGAGGCAGCAGUGCAGAAGAGUGUCCUAUGGGCGGAACCAUGGUGCAGCGAAGCCGCGUGGGGGGUAACGGGCUUCGGGUUGUAAACCACUUUCGUCUGUGCCGAGGCGUGAGUGACGGUAAUGGGUAAAGAAGCCCCGGCUAACUACGUG